GUUGGGAGGGGGCUUCCGCUUCCGGCAGCGGAGGCUGCAGCCUCGCUCUGGUCCCUGCGGCUGGCGGCAGAGCCGUGUGUCUCCUCCGCCGCCGCCAUAUUGUCUGUGUGAGGAUAGGGGAGCGCGGCUAGUGCCGCUGCUGCUUCCACCGCAGUUUGAAGAAAAAGGGUCUGAAACAAAGAUUUACCAACUUCUGCUUUUGAACACAGUGAUUACCAGAUCUUCAAACAUCGAGUUCAGCUUUGUCUGUCAACCUGUCUGACAUGUCGGGACCCGUGCCAAGCAGGGCCAGAGUUUACACAGAUGUUAACACACACAGACCCCGAGAGUACUGGGACUAUGAAUCACACGUGGUGGAAUGGGGAAAUCAAGAUGACUACCAACUUGUUCGAAAAUUGGGCAGGGGCAAAUACAGUGAAGUGUUUGAAGCCGUCAACAUCACAAAUAAUGAAAAAGCUGUUGUUAAAAUUCUCAAGCCAGUAAAAAAGAAGAAAAUUAAGCGUGAAAUAAAGAUUUUGGAGAAUUUGAGAGGUGGGCCCAACAUCAUCACACUUGCAGACAUUGUAAAAGACCCUGUGUCACGAACCCCUGCCUUGGUUUUUGAACAUGUAAACAACACAGACUUCAAGCAAUUGUACCAGACGUUAACAGACUAUGACAUUCGAUUUUACAUGUAUGAAAUUCUGAAAGCCCUGGAUUAUUGUCACAGCAUGGGGAUUAUGCACAGAGAUGUGAAACCCCAUAAUGUCAUGAUUGAUCAUGAGCUCAGAAAGCUUCGGCUAAUAGACUGGGGUUUAGCAGAGUUUUACCAUCCUGGCCAAGAGUAUAAUGUCCGAGUUGCUUCCCGAUAUUUCAAAGGUCCAGAACUACUUGUAGAUUAUCAGAUGUACGAUUAUAGUCUGGAUAUGUGGAGCUUGGGCUGCAUGCUGGCGAGCAUGAUCUUCCGGAAGGAGCCGUUCUUCCAUGGACAUGACAACUAUGAUCAGUUGGUGAGGAUAGCCAAGGUUCUGGGAACAGAAGAUUUAUAUGACUAUAUUGACAAGUACAACAUUGAAUUAGAUCCACGUUUCAACGAUAUCUUGGGCAGACACUCCCGUAAGCGAUGGGAACGCUUUGUCCACAGUGAAAACCAGCACCUUGUCAGCCCUGAGGCCUUGGAUUUUCUGGACAAGCUGCUUCGAUACGAUCACCAGUCACGGCUCACUGCAAGAGAGGCCAUGGAGCACCCUUACUUCUACACUGUUGUGAAGGACCAGGCUCGAAUGAGCUCCACUAGCAUGGCAGGGGGCAGCACGCCUGUCAGCAGCGCCAAUAUGAUGUCAGGGAUUUCUUCAGUGCCAACCCCUUCACCCCUUGGACCUCUGGCGGGCUCACCAGUGAUUGCUGCGGCCAACUCACUUGGGAUAGCUGUCCCAGCUGCUGCUGGCGCUCAGCCGUAAUCACCCCAUCUAUCUCCUGAUGCCUGAGCAGAGGUGGGGAAUCCCACCCUCUCCUUGAUGCAGCUUGCGCCUGGUUGGGAGGGUGAGAACACUUCAGAAGCACCGUGUCUAAACCGUUGCUUGUGGAUUUAGUAGUUGAGUCAUAAAAAAAUUAUAGGCUGAUUUUCUUUUUCUUUUUUUUUUCUUUUCUUUUUUUUUUUUUAAAAAAAAAAAAAAAAAAACUUGGACUUUUCAUAACUCAGGGGAUUCCCUGAAGCAAUUACCUGCAGGUGGAAUAUUUCAUGGACAAAAUUUUUUCUCCCCUUCCAAAUUCAGUUUAUCACCACUAAUGAACAAAGAUAAACUGGCCUCAGACCCAGCUGCUGCGUUUGGGUGGAGAUUUCUUCCCCUUCCCACGUUGCUCUCCCUACAUUGUACACUCUUGGGGCUUAUAUUCUCAUGUUCUUCUCCAGAGAUUAUAAACUGUAGUUCAUCAAGGAAGGAGGGGAGGCAAAAGGUAGGGAGGACCCAGUCCAUCCUGAAACACUGCUCUGCUGGCUGGUCACUUCAUCUCUUCUCUCCAGGACUGUAUCCAUGGGUUAUUCCGGCUCUGUUGGAGGUGGGUCUGUCUUAUUUACAUCAAGAUGUUAAAAGUUUACCCAACUUGCAGACAGAUCCAAAAGCUUUUUUUUCUGAACGAAUCAUGUCUUACUAACUCAACCCUAAUGAUUUUAAUUUUAGUUUUGUUUCUAUUUGUGAUACUUUCCUUUCUGGGCUCCUGCUUUGGUCUUUCCCUUUUCAUCUCCAAACUUCAUAGCUGGUAGGAGAGGAAAGGCAAAAUCUUUUUCAAUUUUCUUUGACUUGGCCAUUUUGAAGUCAGUUAGUUAGUGGGCAUAAUUUAUUGCUUUUUAAAAAAGAAAUACUGUCCAUCUAAGUUUCUUGCUAGCACUCUUAUGAGCUAACAGGUGAUGUGGCCACACUGGGUUCAUUUUAAGCUUUGUACUUUAGCCCCUCCUGCCUUGCCCUUUCUCCACAUGCCAUCUAGUGAGGAGCCCUGCUCUCAGAGUUGUAACUGUAUUUGAGAGGCAGGAGCAGAGCCACUAUCUCCAGUGAACCAGAUAUGGUAGACCUGUAAUUGUGGGAAACUAUCAGUUCUCUUGUUAUGGCCCUGCCAUCCCUUGCUGUGUGUAUAUAUAUAAUACUUUGUCCUUCAUAUGUGAAAGAUCCAGUGUUGGAAUUCUUUGGUGUAAAUAAACGUUUGGUUUUAUUUAUCAAGGUUAGAUUUAAGUUCCCUGUGUAAAGGUCUCGCUGGGUGGGUGUCUCACAUUCAAACCUGAGGGGACUACAGCCCAUACCAUGGAAGCUUCCCAAGGCCCUCAUUUUUAUACACCCCUCAUUUGACCCAUGGUACUGGGCAGGGCAGAGAGGCCUUAAAAAAAAAAAAAAAAAAAAAAAAGCACCACAAGCCAAAGCGUCUCUGGGGAUUAAGGAUCCUUUGCCAUAAACUCAUUCUGUGUCUCAGCAUUGCAGGGAUUGGGGAUAGGAAAAGUCGCCAGUUUUUGUGUGUUUGUGUGUAUAUAAAGUGGACUUUCCACUGUAAUCCAACCACCUAAGUUUAUCAGGUGCUUCACUGAGGAAGCCUAGUUUUUUAAGCACAAUAGCAAAACAUCAGCUCUGUAUUUUCUCCUAUUAUUUCAUUACAGUAGCUGCCUGUGGGGACUAGGAAAAAAAAUCUUCCAACAUAUUUUAAGGCCUAAAAUCUUAGUUCCCCAUUCUCCUACCUUUAUAGAUUCAUAAGCCUUUCUCACCUGGCAUCAUAGAUAAAACAUAAUUGUUUAGGGAGUUGAAUUUAAUUAACUUACCUAACUUUGUUAACCCAUCUUGGCUUUAGUGACUUGAUCAAGGUGGUGGCUUUAGCGAAUGUAAUGAUAAAAGUAGAGGAUGCUAAUGCUUUCUUUUCUUAACAUUUCUCAACCAUAGAGAGAGCUAAAAGGAAAACCUGACUGCAGAGUGAUUUUUCUUCUUUUUGGCCACUUGCAGUGACUAUUUAUUGUACUUGAUUCUUGUGUGCCCUAGCGUGUUGUGAGGGGUCACCAUGUUGGAUUUGUGCAGAGCUGAAAGCACCAGGUGAGCCAGAGAUGCAGUUUGUGAUUAUGUUUGCACUGGAUCGUGAUUUGAACAAGACACUUAUAGACUGGUGAAUUCUUUCUUUUGAGGUGAAAAGGAAAGUUGUAGAUCAGGACUCCACACCCUGCUCACAGCUCAGAAGUAUAGGUGUGUUAGAGGCUGGUGUGAACAGCUGUAGGUAACCUGGGCCCUCAGAAGUGUAGGUGUGUUAGAGGCUGGUGUGAACAGCUGUAGGUAACCUGGGCCUCCUCACACAUCAAACCUGUGCAAGAGCUGAGGGUGAAUACAGAGGACUCUGGUGUGCCACCUAAGAGCCUUUUAAAGUAAAUGGAAGAAACAAGGAGUCACUGCAGAAAUGUGCAGAGUUUUUAAAGAUCUAAAUGCCUGGGGGGUAGGGAGGGUCAGGGUUUACAGAGUAACAACUUCUGUGUUGUAAAUUACCUCAUCUGUACACCUUGUAUUGGGACACUAUUUCUCAGCACUUCCUGUGUCUGUAUUGCUUAGAAGGCGGGAUGGAUGCCAAUAUAAAACAGCUGUGUUGGCAAUUAUCUGAAAGUAUUUUUUAACUUUGUUUUGAAGUGUGCCCUUCUCCCCUUUAAGUUUAAAGUCAGAAUUCCCCUCCUUGAUUUAUUGGUUGUAAUUGUAUUGUAAUUGGUAUGACUAAGACAUAACUGUGCUGGGAAGAAGUUGUGCCAUGAAGGUCUUUAUUUUUUUUUUUAAAUAAAAACAUUUAAAUCAAUGAAAUGUC